CUGUGUUGACCAGUUUGGCCUUGCACUCCUGAUCUCAGGUGACCCACCCGCCUCGACCUCCCAAAUGCCAGUGACAUUUGAAAGUGGAUUCAGAUGAAGGCAGUAGAGCGAGGGAAGCCGCACUGGCUGAGAGGCUGUGGAGCCAGAUGAAAAAGCAGCACCUGAGCCUUCUGAUGAUGUCCCCUACAGUUUGAACAUUUAUUCACCUCAUGAGCUUGUACAACAGUCGUGGGAGUUGCGGCAGAAGCAAGUGAAAGGCCAGAUGAGCGCUUCUAAGCUUGGGAGGAAGAGAGAGG